UAGGGAAUCUUCGGCAAUGGACGAAAGUCUGACCGAGCAACGCCGCGUGAGUGAAGAAGGUUUUCGGAUCGUAAAACUCUGUUGUUAGAGAAGAACAAGGACGUUAGUAACUGAACGUCCCCUGACGGUAUCUAACCAGAAAGCCACGGCUAACUACGUGCCAGCAGCCGCGGUAAUACGUAGGUGGCAAGCGUUGUCCGGAUUUAUUGGGCGUAAAGCGAGCGCAGGCGGUUUCUUAAGUCUGAUGUGAAAGCCCCCGGCUCAACCGGGGAGGGUCAUUGGAAGCUGGGAGACUUGAGUGCAGAAGAGGAGAGUGGAAUUCCAUGUGUAGCGGUGAAAUGCGUAGAUAUAUGGAGGAACACCAGUGGCGAAGGCGGCUCUCUGGUCUGUAUCUGACGCUGAGGCUCGAAAGCGUGGGGAGCAAACAGG
rnacentral:rRNA from 1 species